GGUUCCAUGGUGUAGAGGUUAGCACGUCUGCUUUACACGCAGAAGGUCCUGGGUUCGCGCCCCAGUGGAGCCA
rnacentral:tRNA from 1 species